rnacentral:rRNA from 1 species
AGCAGUAGCCGCGGUAAUACGAAGGGUGCAAGCGUUAAUCGGAAUUACUGGGCGUAAAGCGUGCGUAGGCGGUUUGUUAAGUCUGCUGUGAAAUCCCCGGGCUCAACCUGGGAAUGGCAGUGGAUACUGGCAAGCUAGAGUGUGUCAGAGGAUGGUGGAAUUCCCGGUGUAGCGGUGAAAUGCGUAGAGAUCGGGAGGAACAUCAGUGGCGAAGGCGGCCAUCUGGGACAACACUGACGCUGAGGCACGAAAGCGUGGGGAGCAAACAGGAUUAGAUACCCCCGUAGUCCCUGUCUCUUAUAC